GAUGAACGCUGGCGGCGUGCCUAAUACAUGCAAGUCGAGCGAAUGGAUUAAGAGCUUGCUCUUAUGAAGUUAGCGGCGGACGGGUGAGUAACACGUGGGUAACCUGCCCAUAAGACUGGGAUAACUCCGGGAAACCGGGGCUAAUACCGGAUAACAUUUUGAACCGCAUGGUUCGAAAUUGAAAGGCGGCUUCGGCUGUCACUUAUGGAUGGACCCGCGUCGCAUUAGCUAGUUGGUGAGGUAACGGCUCACCAAAGCAACGAUGCGUAGCCGACCUGAGAGGGUGAUCGGCCACACUGGGACUGCGACACGGCCCAGACUCCUACGGGAGGCAGCAGUAGGGAAUCUUCCGCAAUGGACGAAAGUCUGACGGAGCAACGCCGCGUGAGUGAGGAAGGCUUUCGGGUCGUAAAACUCUGUUGUUAGGGAAGAACAAGUGCUAGUUGAAUAAGCUGGCACCUUGACGGUACCUAACCAGAAAGCCACGGCUAACUACGUGCCAGCAGCCGCCGUAA
rnacentral:rRNA from 1 species